rnacentral:tRNA from 1 species
ACUUAUAUAUUUCAAUUAGAAUAUUGCGUUGAAGUUGCAAGGGUGGCUAUUAGUCUGUAAGUG